GCUCCCGUGGUGAAAUGGAUAUCACAACGGUCUUCGGAACCGUCGUUGGGGGUUCGAAUCCCUCCGGGAGCA
rnacentral:tRNA from 1 species